rnacentral:tRNA from 1 species
AUUUAUGUAGUUUAAAAAACAUUACACUUUCAUUGUAAAGAUAAAUCUUUAUUUCAUAAAUA